CAAACCUAUGAAAAAAAGUUUUAAAUAAAUUUAAUAAUAAUUUUAAACUCUUAAUACCAAAAACACAUAAUCUAAAUAGGUCACGGCCACCGCGAUACGCUCUAAGAUGAUUUAUUAAUAUUUUUAUUAUCGUCUUUUUAAAAAUUGGGAGUCGGACGACAAGACGGACGAAAAGACGGACAAGGCGCAGCAGGCGGGCAAUAGUAUGUACAUCGGUAGUUAUUAUAUUGACAAUAUACAGGAGUUCCAAACUGGAAGUCGGACGACAAGACGAACGAGGCGCAGCAGACGGUCAUAAAAAUGAUAAAUCUUAAUUGGUUAAGAAGCUUAUUUGAAGAACAGAAUCAAACUAAAAUUUCUGAAUUUAUUGAUACUGAAAUAAUUGUCAAUAAUAUAACAAUACAAAUGAUGUUGUUAUGUGAAUACAAGAACAUUUAAAUAGACUUUUGAAAUCUGAAGAAGCUAUUUAAAAACACGAAUCUGACCAAAUUUUAUCAACUAAGCAGCUUAACAAACAAAUAAAGGAUUUAGAAUCCGAAGUAAAUAUUCUAAGAAAUUGAGUAAUAGACAAAAAUGAUCAGUUAACAAUUGCUAUAAUGAAAAUUGAUGAUCUCAGAUUAAUUAAAAAUAGUGAUGUAUAUUCAGAUACUUCAUUAUUACACGAUACUAUAGCUAAAUUAACAGAAGAACAUAAGCAAUGUACAUUAACAAUAGAAGAUAAAAAUAAUGAGGAGUUAAAUAAACAAAUGUUUGACUAAGAACAAUUAUUAAUAAAAUAAUCAGAACUUUUGAACGAAAAGGACUCAAUGAAAAAAUAGCUUUAUGGUGAAUUGUCUUCUAUUAGAUUGCAAGGGGGCUUUAUAUCGUCCUGUACAACAUGGUUUGCCUCUUGCAUAACGACUAGCUAUAGUUGCAAUGGUUGCCACCACCUAGGUGAGGUGUCACGCCUAUCAGAUAUGAUUUCCGAACCAUAGCCCAAGAAAUAAUCAAAAAUUGUGAAAAUUGGGCACCAUUACAGUCUGUGCUUGAACAACAUUAUGCCGAGUGUGGUAAAAUGAUAGAUGAAUUAAAAAAAGAAAAAGAUCUAAUUCAACAAGAUAUACUACAUGAAAUGAUGUUGUUAUGUGAAUACAAGAACAUUUAAAUAGACUUUUGAAAUCUGAAGAAGCUAUUUAAAAACACGAAUCUGACCAAAUUUUAUCAACUAAGCAGCUUAACAAACAAAUAAAGGAUUUAGAAUCCGAAGUAAAUAUUCUAAGAAAUUGAGUAAUAGACAAAAAUGAUCAGUUAACAAUUGCUAUAAUGAAAAUUGAUGAUCUCAGAUUAAUUAAAAAUAGUGAUGUAUAUUCAGAUACUUCAUUAUUACAUGAUACUAUAGCUAAAUUAACAGAAGAACAUAAGCAAUGUACAUUAACAAUAGAAGAUAAAAAUAAUGAGAUUACUAAAUUAAAUGUUUUGACUAACCAUUUUAAAAAUAUGAUUUCAACUUUAAAUCCAAAUUAAUAGAAAAAGAAAACAUUGAUACAAAUACAAUAAAAAGCUUAGAGUCAAAAGUUGUAAAUCUUGUCGAAGAAAAUAUGAAUUUACAGGUAAAUUAUUUAAAAUGAAAAAAUUUAAGACAAAUUUAUUGCAUUUUUUGAUUAUCAAAAAUAUGUAUGAAAUUAAUCAUGUCACUCACUUAUUUUAGCCAAG